GGUAUAACAAUUAUAAGCUUUCUUUGGUUAAAAAAUUAAAUUUAAUUUUUUUGUGAAGAAGCAAAAAUAUAAAUUAGGGACAAGAAGACCCUAUGAAUUUUGAAUUAAAUAUAAUAACUUAAUUAAAUUAUUAUAUUUAAAUUAAUUGGGGUGAUUUGGAAAGAGUAUAUAUCUUUUUAGUUAGUUAAAUUGUUCCGUUUUUAACGAUUUUAUGAAUAAAAUACUCUAGGGAUAACAGCGUAAUAAUUUUGGAUAGUUCAUAUAGAUAAAAUAGUUUGCGACCUCGAUGUUGGAUUAGGAUUCUUUUUUGAUGAAGAAAUUAAAGAAAAGAAGUUUGUUCAACUUUUAAAUUCCUACUUGAUCUGA
rnacentral:rRNA from 1 species